GGGAUUGCCCUAGUAACGGCGAGUGAAGCGGCAACAGCUCAAAUUUGAAAUCUGGCUCUUUCAGAGUCCGAGUUGUAAUUUGCAGAGGGCGCUUUGGCUUUGGCAGCGGUCCAAGUUCCUUGGAACAGGACGUCACAGAGGGUGAGAAUCCCGUACGUGGUCGCUGGCUAUUGCCGUGUAAAGCCCCUUCGACGAGUCGAGUUGUUUGGGAAUGCAGCUCUAAAUGGGAGGUACAUUUCUUCUAAAGCUAAAUAUUGGCCAGAGACCGAUAGCGCACAAGUAGAGUGAUCGAAAGAUGAAAAGCACUUUGGAAAGAGAGUCAAACAGCACGUGAAAUUGUUGAAAGGGAAGCGCUUGCAGCCAGACUUGCUUGCAGUUGCUCAUCCGGGCUUUUGCCCGGUGCACUCUUCUGCAGGCAGGCCAGCAUCAGUUUGGGCGGUAGGAUAAAGGUCUCUGUCACGUACCUCUCUUCGGGGAGGCCUUAUAGGGGAGGCGACAUACUACCAGCCUGGACUGAGGUCCGCGCAUCUGCUAGGAUGCUGGCGUAAUGGCUGUAAGCGGCCCGUCUUGAAACACGGACCAAGGAGUCUAACAUCUAUGC
rnacentral:rRNA from 1 species